rnacentral:rRNA from 1 species
ACGGGUGAGUAACGCGUGGGAACCUGCCCAUUGGUCUGGGAUAACUGCGGGAAACUGCAGCUAAUACCGGAUGUACCCGAGAGGGGAAAGAUUUAUCGCCGAUGGAGGGGCCCGCGUCAGAUUAGGUAGUUGGUGAGGUAACGGCUCACCAAGCCUACGAUCUGUAGCUGGUCUGAGAGGAUGAUCAGCCACACUGGGACUGAGAUACGGCCCAGACUCUUACGGGAGGCAGCAGUGGGGAAUAUUGGACAAUGGGGGCAACCCUGAUCCAGCAAUGCCGCGUGAGUGAUGAAGGCCUUAGGGUUGUAAAGCUCUUUUACCAGGGACGAUGAUGACGGUACCUGGAGAAUAAGCCCCGGCUAACUUCGUGCCAGCAGCCGCGGUAAUACGAAGGGGGCUAGCGUUGUUCGGAAUUACUGGGCGUAAAGGGCGCGUAGGCGGCCGAUCAAGUCAGAUGUGAAAGUCCUGGGCUUAACCUGGGGACUGCAUUUGAUACUGAUUGGCUUGAAUUCGGGAGAGGAUAGCGGAAUUCCCAGUGUAGAGGUGAAAUUCGUAGA